rnacentral:rRNA from 1 species
GGGAAAGGUGAAAAGAACCCCUAUUAGGGGAGUGAAAUAGAACCUGAAACCGCAUGCCUACAAUCAGUCGAAGCUCUUUUUAGAGUGACGGCGUACCUUUUGUAUAAUGGGUCAGUGACUUAAUUUGUAUAGCAAGCUUAAGCCGAUUAGGUGGAGGCGCAGCGAAAGCGAGUCUUAAUAGGGCGUUUAGUUUUAUGAAUUAGACCCGAAAACGAAUGAGCUUACCAUGAGCAGGUUGAAAGUAGGGUAACACCUACCGGAGGACCGAACCAGUUGACGUUGAAAAGUCUUUGGAUGACUUGUGGUAAGGGGUGAAAGGCCAACCAAAUUCGUAGAUAGCUGGUUUUCCGCGAAAACUAUUUAGGUAGUGCGUUGAAUAAACAUACGUUUGGAGGUAGAGCACUAAAUGGGCUAGGGGAGAGAGAUCUUUACCAAACCUAAUAAAACUCCGAAUGCCAGACGUAAUUCCUCAACAGACAGACUGUGGGUGCUAAGGUCCAUGGUCGAGAGGGGAACAGCCCAGAUCACCAGAUAAGGUCCCUAAAUUAUGAUUAAGUGUGAAAGGAUGUGGAAAUUCCUAAACAGCCGGGAGGUUGGCUUAGAAGCAGCCAUCCUUUAAAGAUAGCGUAACAGCUCACCGGUCUAAUAGAGUUUCUGCGCCUAAGAUGUAACGGGGCUCAAAUCAUAUACCGAAUCUGUGGGUGCAUAAAGUUUUCGGACUUUAUGCGCGGUAGCGGAACGUUCUGUAAGCCUGCAAAGGAAUACCCGUGAGGGAUUCUGGAGGUAUCAGAAGUGCGAAUGCUGACAUAAGUAACGAUAAACGAAGUGAAAAACUUCGUCGCCGAAAAUCCAAGGGUUUCUGCGCAAGGUUAAUCCGCGCAGAGUUAGUCGGCCCCUAAGGCGAGGGCGAAAGCCGUAGUCGAUGGGAACUAGGUUAAUAUUCCUAGACCAGAUGGUAGUGACGAAUUUCAUAAGUUGUUAACUCUUAAUGGAUUGAGUUAGCUACGAAGAAGUUCCAGGAAAUAGCUCCAUCAUAAGACCGUACCCUAAACCGACACAGGUGGAUUAAUAGAGUAUAUCUAGGCGCUUGAGAGAAUGAUGUUGAAGGAACUCGGCAAAAUGCCUCUGUAACUUUGGAAUAAAGAGGACCUUUUUUUGGGCAACCGUAAAAAGGUGGCACAAGCCAGGGAGAAGCGACUGUUUAUCAAAAACACAGGGCUCUGCUAACACGUAAGUGGAUGUAUAGGGUCUGACGCCUGCCCGGUGCUGGAAGGUUAAUGCGAUGGGUGCAAGCCUAUUUCUGAAGCCCCAGUAAACGGCGGCCGUAACUAUAACGGUCCUAAGGUAGCGAAAUUCCUUGUCGGGUAAGUUCCGACCUGCAUGAAUGGCGUAACGAUUUCUCCGCUGUCUCCAACAUCAACUCAGUGAAAUUGAAUUCUCCGUGAAGAUGCGGAG